UGGGGAAUAUUGCACAAUGGGCGCAAGCCUGAUGCAGCCAUGCCGCGUGUAUGAAGAAGGCCUUCGGGUUGUAAAGUACUUUCAGCGGGGAGGAAGGGAGUAAAGUUAAUACCUUUGCUCAUUGACGUUACCCGCAGAAGAAGCACCGGCUAACUCCGUGCCAGCAGCCGCGGUAAUACGGAGGGUGCAAGCGUUAAUCGGAAUUACUGGGCGUAAAGCGCACGCAGGCGGUUUGUUAAGUCAGAUGUGAAAUCCCCGGGCUCAACUGGGAACUGCAUCUGAUACUGGCAAGCUUGAGUCUCGUAGAGGGGGGUAGAAUUCCAGGUGUAGCGGUGAAAUGCGUAGAGAUCUGGAGGAAUACCGGUGGCGAAGGCGGCCCCCUGGACGAAGACUGACGCUCAGGUGCGAAAGCGUGGGGAGCAAACA
rnacentral:rRNA from 1 species